rnacentral:rRNA from 1 species
UCUAAUACCGGAUACUGACCAUUGCAGGCAUCUGUGAUGGUCGAAAGCUCCGGCGGUGCAGGAUGAGCCCGCGGCCUAUCAGCUUGUUGGUGAGGUAGUGGCUCACCAAGGCGACGACGGG